AGGGGCGAGCGUGGAAGCAGGAAUUCAGCCAGGAGGCUAUUGUAGACAGGGAUCUGUUUCUGAAGAUCUAUCAAGACCGGAGACUAAAUGCUUGCUUCUUGCUUUGGCUGUGCUGAUAUUAAUUACAGCUCUGCAAACGGCCUCUCUCCUGUCCUCAAUUCCAGUGCUGCAGAGUUAUGAUUAAGCAGAUCUGUCACUAAGUGAGGAUUUUGUUGUGCUUUUUGAAUGCAGUGCCUCGGUAUGUUCAUUUAUUUUUCAUUCAAGUUUGUAUUGAACGAUGCAUUAUAUCUCACAUGGUAGGUCUCCUGUGCCCCACUGCCUGGGGCUCCCUGUCCCUCUCCACCUGCUUUCUUUUCCCCCAUUGUACUUACUUAUCACUACCCAACACAUUGGACAUGCAUUUGGCAUGCUUGGUUUUAUGUGUCAAACUUGGCUAAGCUAUAAGACCCAGUUAUUGAAGCAAACGCUAACCUAGUGUUGCUGUGAACGUAUUUUAUAGAUGUGGUAAGCACUUACAAUCAGCUGUCUUUAAGUAAAGGAGAUUACCCUUGAUAGCUUGGUGGGCCUCAUCUAAUCAGUGGAGAGGUUUGAAGAGCAAAACUGAAGUUUCCCUAUGAAAGAAGAAAUUCUGCCCCAGGACUGCAGCAUCAAUUCCUACAUGAGUUUCCAGCCUGCUAGCCUGCUCCACAGAUCUCAGACUUGCCAGCCUUCACAACUGUGUGAGCCAAUUCCUGAAAUGAAUUCCUUUAUACAGGAUUUCAUGAUGAGACAUCAUCUGCUACAGGAUUUGCAGGGAAACAUGGAGUAUCACUUUGGGCCUAUUUUCUAAGAGAAUGGCCUGAAGAGAAUAGAUUCAAGUUUCCUCCCAGAAAAGCCUCUGCUUCAGGAGCACGUAGCAGAAAAAAUACAAUAUGUUCACAAAACAGGAACACUCGACUGGUAAGGGGAGAAAUGCCUCAAAUGAGCAUGUGCACAACUUCAGUAAACAUGCUGUACAUGUGGCCCCUCCCAAGUGUCGGCAGGCCACCACGCAAGUAGGCAGCCCUGGACAGCCCGCCCCUGGGGAAGAAUCAAGGGAGGAGAAACAGAAACCCUGGAACCGUGUCAAUAUAUAAAAUCCCAAGUCAAGGGCUGAAUGGCACACUUGGAUCUCUCAAGUCACCCGCUUGGCCCCCUUCCAAGUGUACUUUACUUCCCUUUGUUCCUCCUCUAAAACUUUUUAAUAAACUUUCACUCCUGCUCUAAAACUUGCCUCGGUCUUUCCCUCUGCAUUAAAACUACUUCUGCCCCUCAGCCGAAUUCUUUCCUCUGAGAGGACAAGAAUCAAGCUGCUGCAUACCCCUGCAGAUUCACCGCUGCUAAC